rnacentral:rRNA from 1 species
UGCUUAAAGCAUAGCAUAAAUGCACUAGAUCCCAUUAGAACCACGCAACUAAGUGCGCUUGAGCUAGAGUAGUACUAGGAUGGGUGACCACCUGGGAAGUCCUAGUGUUUUACAUGC